GCUUGUCUCAAAGAUUAAGCCAUGCAUGUCUAAGUAUAAACGAUUUUAUACGUGAAACUGCGAAUGGCUCAUUAUAUCAGUUAUAGUUUAUUUGAUGGUCCUUGCUACUUGGAUAACCGUAGUAAUUCUAGAGCUAAUACAUGCAUCAGACCCCGACUGUUUGGAAGGGGUGUAUUUAUUAGAUGGAAACCGAUGCGGGGUAACCCGGAUUUUGGUGAUUCAUAAUAACUUUCGGAUCGAUCGCAAGAUCGAUGCAUCAUUCAAGUUUCUGCCCUAUCAGCUUUGGAUGGUAGGGUAUUGGCCUACCAUGGCUUUAACGGGUAACGGAGAAUUAGGGUUCGAUUCCGGAGAGGGAGCCUGAGAAAUGGCUACCACAUCCAAGGAAGGCAGCAGG
rnacentral:rRNA from 1 species